AUUCCAACUCUAACUCCUGAAAAUUUUAGUUUUCGUGCCAAACGGCUGUUUAGAUUUUGAUAUUGAAUUUUCGUAUUCAUCUAUUUAACUAGUUGAUUUUGGUGUUUAAUCUUCGUAUUUAGGAUAUUGAACUUGUAAAUUGUUGUAUACGGCGAAAAGUUUCAAUUUUGUAUUUAAUCUUUGUAUUUCAGCUACCAAACUUGUAGAUUGCUCGUAUGCACUAUUAAAGUUGGAAUUUUGAUGUUCAAUCUUCAUAUUUCGACUAUCGAACUUGUAAUUGUCGGUGAAUGCUAGAGCAAUGAUUUAAGCUGGUCGAUGGGGUCGCGAGAUCGGGCAUUCUUGCUGAAGAAUCCUGCGGGGAUGGAUUCUACAAUGUGUUUGAUAAAAGUCUCAAAUGAACUAUUUCUCACUAUUGAGUUGACGAGCAAUUCCUAGUGAUUGAUUUGAAAUAUAAUUGGAAUGUUUUUGGAUGGUUGCACAUAGAGAUGAAAAUGUACUCAAACGUUUUGCUUGGAAUUAAUUGGUAUAUGACUUUGGUGUCUUGUCAAAAACAAUUCGAAAUACCGCGACUUUUUUAGAACUGGUACGAGUCAAAAAAUGUUUGCCAGUACCCAAUCCUGAUAUCACCGUGCUUCAGCCUCUGCGGCUGGGUUUUCCUUGUAUUGUUUUGGAUUAAGACCGGCAUCUGUACUAUCCGUAUGUCUUUGAAUAUAAUGGCGAUGCAAGUUCUUGACUCUGUGAA